AUUGAACGCUGGCGGCAUGCCUUACACAUGCAAGUCGAACGGCAGCACGGGGCAACCUGGUGGCGAGUGGCGAACGGGUGAGCAAUGCAUCGGAACGUACCUUUCAGUGGGGGAUAACGUAGCGAAAGUUACGCUAAUACCGCAUAUUCUGUGAGCAGGAAAGCAGGGGAUCGCAAGACCUUGCGCUGAUUGAGCGGCCGAUGUCAGAUUAGCUAGUUGGUGAGGUAAAGGCUCACCAAGGCGACGAUCUGUAGCGGGUCUGUGAGGAUGAUCCGCCACACUGGAACUGAGACACGGUCCAGACUCCUACGGGAGGCAGCAGUGGGGAAUUUUGGACAAUGGGGGCAACCCUGAUCCAGCCAUGCCGCGUGAGUGAAGAAGGCCUUCGGGUUGUAAAGCUCUUUCGGCCGGGAAGAAAUCGCACGGGCUAAUACCCUGUGUGGAUGACGGUACCGGAAUAAGAAGCACCGGCUAACUACGUGCCAGCAGCCGCAGUAA
rnacentral:rRNA from 1 species